rnacentral:rRNA from 1 species
AGGACGAACGCUGGCGGCGUGCUUAACACAUGCAAGUCGAGCGGAAAGGCCCUUCGGGGUACUCGAGCGGCGAACGGGUGAGUAACACGUGGGUAAUCUGCCCCUAGCUCUGGGAUAGCUCCGGGAAACCGGGAUUAAUACCAGAUACGACCACUUUAGACAUCUCUUGCGGUGGAAAGAAUUUCGGCUAGGGAUGAACUCGCGGCCUAUCAGCUUGUUGGUGAGGUAACGGCUCACCAAGGCGACGACGGGUA